CCCGCCCGAGAAGGCGGCGCUGGGAGCCGCUCAGAGCCCAGAGAAGCGGCGCGCGGCCAGGAGCCCCCGCUCCGCCACUGCCGUGCCUGCCUCCCGCAGCUGUCUGCCAUGCGCUCGCCGGGGCAGGGGCGCCCGGAGGGCGGCUAGAGCUGGGCCUGAGCCCGGGAACGCGCCUGAUCAGGGGUGGCGGAGCCGCGGUCCCCACAGCCGCCCCACCCGCGCCGCUGCCUCGCUGGGGCCCGGGCCCCCUUCCCGGUCCCUGUAUGAGUGCCACAGAGCCGUCAUAAAGCUAGAUAACCGAAAGUAGAAAUGAUUCUCACAACUUCUGCGUGCGAGCGCCCGCCCCACCGACCGCCCCGGCCCGGCCCGCAAGAGCCAGAGGAGCCGAGAGGAGCCCAGCGCCGGCCCAGCGGACUCCAGCUCGACGGAGCGGCCGCGCCCCGACCAGUUACUCCCCUGCUGGUGCCUCCCUCCUUGGCGCGCUUCCCACCUGCGAUCGGCGCCCUCUUCGCAGUCACGAACUCGCCAGCAGCUAGCAGCACUGACUAGUAGGAGGGCCCGCCGGAGGAGAGGACAUGCUCUGGAGUCAGAAGACAGCGAAAAGAGAAGCAGAAGCCCCGGUGGCAAGAGUCUGAAGGAAGGAUGACUGUAGCCUGUGGAUUGUACUGCAGUAGGAAACUGUCCUAGCAAGGCUCCACUUUGCCCCAGCUUCAAGCUGGAAAGGAGGAGAACAUGAAACAUUGCUUGAAGACAAUGGCCGAGACAGCAGGUCCCACCCUGCACAGCCACCAGCAUCUCUCCCCUCAGCCCUGUCUCCUCUUCUGCAGUUGGGAUCUGCACAUUUAAGCCUGAAAUUGUCCUGUGAAGUGAAGUAUGAUCGGACAGCCUCUUUUCAGCUUUUAUGACAAUGGAGACAGAGGAAUUGUGGCUCUUGCCAAGGUCACAGGAUUGGAAUACAGAGCCAAGCCACCCCAGGACAUGCAAGAGCCUCAGAAGGGAAAAAAGCCCAGCAGGAAGGGAGAACAAGUAGCCUCUGUCCUGAAGUUGUAACAGCCAGGGGCCAGGAUGGAGGAGGAGGACCCCAUAAUCUGCCCAUCUGGGACUUGGCAGGGGACCUGGGAAAAUGUACCCCAACCCAUCCCUUAAGGGCCUUUGUCUUUGGCCCAUUGGCCUAGCAUCUACUUCUUCACCGUGUCUGUUCUUGUCACACCUAGUCAGGUCUGUUUGGGUCUGAGGUGCAUGGAACAUUCUGGGUAGGCCUCCAGCAAACGGAAGCUCUUCACCGUGUUUCCAGCCUGGGACCAAGGGCAGCAUACUGGCAAAGUUGCCAAAGCAAGGGACUCCAGCCUCUUAGGAGUUAAUGACUCCCUCUCCCCAGCUGUCCUCCCCUUGGUGCUCCUCUUCCUCCCUCCUCCUGCUCACAGCAGGCAGGGCCUAGACCCGGGAGCCAUGCUGCUGUGCUGUUGCCAGGGGAGCACGGAGGCAGAUCUGAGCUAUGCAGGGAAAAGGCCCAGCCUGUCAAAGUGUCUGAGAUGAACCGCCGCCGUCCCUGUGCAGCUGGGCUCAGACGUGUCUCAGCUCUUGUUCUGUGCCUGAGAAUGGCGAAACCCAGUGAGGUUCAAGGGCAAACUCGCUAUUCAUUAGUCAGGGGUUCUUGACGUCCCGUCUCUCCCAGGGAUGAGUUCCCCCCUCCUCUUUCUCCCCCUCCUAUGACACAUUCCUGGGUGCCUUUGGUGAGGACUGCACACCCUCCUCCUGCCUAGCCCCCUCUCCAAAGGCCCCUGAAUAAACUCCCCCCAAGGAGACCAGGCAGGGCAGAGACAAUGGCUGCAGGAAAUCAUUCAGGCGGGACAUGCUGGCCUGCCCUCCACCCAGUCCCCCUGUGGGCCCCACUCCCUUCUGAUUCAGGGCACCCUUGGGCCCCCAGCCUAUACAGGCCUGGACAGGAAGAAACCACUGGGAACCACCCUAAGGACAACAUGCUAGUCCAGUGCCAUUCUUCGCUGGCUCUGUGGGUGCCUUUGUGGCCUGUACCGACUGGCUGGCUAAUUUUGUGGUUUCUGUACCAUCACAUGCCUAUUUUAAGACACUCUCCAGCACUGUCGGUUAGGGAGUGUAAAUUUUGCAAUAUUUUCUGAAAUGUGGCAAUAUCAAAAUGUAAAAGGCACACAUACUUGGUCACAAACAAAUGGCACUAUUUACUCUGUGGGCAUAUUUGUAAAAGUUGCCAAAGAAUUAUAUACAAGGAUGUUCAUCAGAGCAUUUCUUUUGAAGAGUAAAGAAAUGGACAUGAACCUGUGGUCCGUUCAUACGGUGGAAUACCUAUGCAGCUGUAAAAAUCAGUGUGGUAGAUCUCCGUAUAUGAGUUGAUGUGGAAGGUUGGCCAGUUCACAUGAUAAGGUGAAUAGAAUAAGUUACAGAACAGGCUGUAGAGUAUGAUCUUAUUUGUAGAUGUUUAAAACUGAGUCAUAAGUAUGCUUAUAUACAGAUCGUUUCUGGAAGUAUGUACUGGAAGUCUACCUCUGGGGAGUGGGGAUGGGGGAGUGCACUCUUCUAUACUGUUAUAUUUUCUUUUCAUGCUCCUAAGGUACUUUUAUUGGAAGAUGUAAAGCGGUUCAAUGUAAUAGGCUUAACUUCUGUCAACUAAGUUGGCGUGGGUGCUUUAAGAGGGUGGUAGUGAUGUUGCUGGAGAAAGUAUCCCACAGUCACUGGUGGCUUCAGCCACGGGCCAUUUUGGGGCCUAAUAAUCACAUAUCAUCAUGGUUGCUAGUGUUAAUCGAAAACCUACUAAGUGCCAGGCUUACUGUCUCUGGGUCUUGCUUACGUGGAUGUCAUUUUUCCAGUUGCACCAAAUCGAAAGAGGUUAAUUGGUUUGUUGGAGUUCCUUUGUAGGUGAAGGGCAGAGCCAGGAGCUUGGCUAGGGACAGGGGAGGUGAGUGGGGGAUGGUGGAUAGGUCUUGGCUCCCAGUUUCCUUCUGGGCAGACAUUGCCCCUCUGCCCUGAGGACCUGCUUGUUUGGGGGAAGAGGCCUUUAGAGGCACCAGGGUCAUGCCAGGUGUUGGACAUGGUGAACUGGGAAGUGCUCCCAUCUGGCCACAGCGCAGAAGUAUCACCGUGCUGGGGGAUGGGGAACAGGGCUGUGAAUGGGCCUAUUUGCAUAAGCAGCAUGUGUCUGGAGAGAAAGACAUCACAGAGCAGAAGAGUGCGGGUGCCCAGGAGUGCACUUGCCACCCCUACUUCAUCCCUGAAAGAGUAAAUGGCCUGGAAGGUGUCUCUGAGAGGUAAUGCCGCACACCACCCUCCCUGGGGGCAGGGUCAGGCUACACCUGCCUUAGGUCGGGGGCUGCAGCAGCCUGAGAGCUCUCAGUAGGGCCUCAGUAGCCUGGGAGGGAGCAGGGGCAGGGGGCAGGGAAAGAGGCGUAAUGGGGCUGUCCAGAGGGGCCUGGGAAACCUGGUCCCUGAGGCCUGGGCACAGCUACAAUCACUUCAAAUUGGCUGUGGGGCCAGUGGACUGGGAAGGAAAAAAGCAAUAAGAGUGACCAAGUGCAGAAGGCUGUCAGGUCCCAGGUCACAUGCCUUAGUGCAGUGACUCCUCAUCAUUUUAUGGGGUGUGGGUGUCGUUGGUACACCCAUUUUACAGAUGAGGACACCGAGGCCCAGAAAAGUUAAGUUACAUGUCCUAAGUCACACAGCUUGUAAGUGCCAGAACUGAGAUCAAAACCAAGUCUCUUUGACUUUAAAGUCUGUACUCUGACCCCAAAGAGAUCCUGUUUGGCCACUUAUAGGAGGUCCCUAAAGCUGCAGACUCCCCUUGCCGGCACCCACAUAUAGAGACAUUAACCCUUCCCCUGCAGGGUCACCUCAAAUAGUCUUUUAGCUGGGCUUCUCCUGCAAUUCCACCUAAUGCCAUCCCCUGGGUUUUGCCCAAACCUGAACUGGGCAGUGGGGUGAGAGGAGGGGUUUACAGGGUUACAGAGCCUCAUACAGAUAGGAGCCCAUGGCUGCUGGUCAUCUGCAUUCCUGCAGGAUUGGCUGUUCCUUGGGGUCCUUGGCAGGAAAAUGAGGAUUGCUCCGAGGCCUGCUCCAGUACUUCCCAGAGGCUGGCCUGGUGUGGGGCUCUGGGAAGGCUGAGGCUGGAGAAGCGUAAGUAGGAGGGCAGAGAUGGCACUCAGGUAGCUUGAAUCACCAGGACCCUUCCAAGCCCCACAGGUUCUGAGGGAGUACUAGGGCCAGCUCUGGGAGAGGUCUCUUCCUAUGCUGUGAACCCCCUGCCUUUCUUGCAGCCUACAACGAAUAAAUUUUCUUUGCAAAG
rnacentral:lncRNA from 1 species